GGAAGAAGAUGGCCAGCACCAUCACAGCAGAAAUCCUGCCCCCUGAAAGAAGAUAGCUGCUUCUGGAAAAGGAAUAUGGUGUUGUGAGUCCCCAGGAAGACGAGGAGCCCAGAACCAGCUGGAAAGAAAGGGCAGGGAUGAUGCUAGGUUAGUCUCGGCAAACAGAAAUUAAUACCUUACUGAGAGCAGACCAAGACUCGGAUCAGAUUCAUCAGUAUGCUCUGGCUCCUCUGUGCUCCGUCAGAGUGUACAGCUGCUUCGUGUUGUUCAAGCAACAGAAAGCAGCCAGGAGUUACAAGAGAAACGGGGCCCACGUGGACUUUUUAUUGCUAUUAUCUUUAAAGGUAAAAUAAAAAAAAAACCCAACCCAAAACAUUGUCAUGCAUCACAAAGCUGACACCUGUCAAUGACAGACUGACUUUUUGGAGGCUGCUACGGUUAUUUUAAACCAAGCUACUCUUGAGUGUAAUUGCUGUAACAAGUGUCCAGCCACAGGCCAUACCCAGGGCUGUCAUUCACCAUCUCUCUGCAAGCAGCCCGUGGCACACGAAGCCUGAUGUUCAGCCAGCAAAUGAGCAGUUUGAUCCCUGGAUUUGUUUCCUGAGAAAAAUGUUUCCAGACAAUGGAUUCCAAACACAUUUCUAUAAUUCGUCUGAAAGUGCCCAUGCACUUUUUCCCUGGGUAUCCAGACAGCAUUGCACCUGCGUCCCCUGCUCAGGGCCAGCCUGGCAGAGAGGAACAGGAGGCUGAGAGUUGAAAAAAGACCUGGAAGCCAGACUGGAUAAUCAGCUGGGCACGCCUUGCCAUUCCUCUUGGUGCAGAUGACCUGUGCUACGGCUGUCAAAAUGGGACUAGGCUUAGCUGC